rnacentral:rRNA from 1 species
GACGAACGCUGGCGGCGUGCUUAACACACGCAAGUCGAGCGGUAAGGCCCUUUCGGGGGUACACGAGCGGCGAACGGGUGAGUAACACGUGGGUGACCUGCCCUCAGCUCUGGGAUAAGCCUGGGAAACCGGGUCUAAUACUGGAUAUGACUCCAUGACGCAUGUUGUGGGGUGGAAAGCCUUGUGCGGCUGAGGAUGGGCCCGCGGCCUAUCAGCUUGUUGGUGGGGUGAUGGCCUACCAAGGCGACGACGGGUAGCCGGCCUGAGAGGGCGACCGGCCACACUGGGACUGAGACACGGCCCAGACUCCUACGGGAGGCAGCAGUGGGGAAUCUUGCGCAAUGGGCGAAAGCCUGACGCAGCGACGCCGCGUGAGGGAUGACGGCCU